GGGUUGUGAGGUUAAGCGACUAAGCGUACACGGUGGAUGCCCUGGCAGUCAGAGGCGAUGAAGGGCGUGCUAAUCUGCGAUAAGCGCCGGUAAGGUGAUAUGAACCGUUAUAACCGGCGAUACCCGAAUGGGGAAACCCAGUGUGAUUCGUCACACUAUCAUUAACUGAAUCCAUAGGUUAAUGAGGCGAACCGGGGGAACUGAAACAUCUAAGUACCCCGA
rnacentral:rRNA from 3 species